AAGUCGAGCGAGGGCUCAUUUCCCGCAAGGGAGAUGGGUUCCUAGCGGCGAACGGGUGAGUAACACGUGGGCAACCUUUCCUAUCGCGGGGGAUAACAGCGGGAAACCGCUGCUAAUACCGCAUGUCGUCACCGGUCGCAUGGCCGGUGAAAAAAGCAGCAAUGCACGAUGGGGUGGGCCCGCGGCCUAUCAGCUAGUCGGUGGGGUCACGGCCUACCGAGGCGAUGACGGGUAGCUGGUCUGAGAGGACGACCAGCCACACGGGGACUGAGACACGGCCCCGACUCCUACGGGAGGCAGCAGUGAGGAAUCUUCCGCAAUGGGCGAAAGCCUGACGGAGCGACGCCGCGUGUGGGAUGAAGUCCUUCGGGAUGUAAACCACUGUUGGAGGGGAAGACAACUGACGGUACCCUCCGAGAAAGCCCCGGCUAACUACGUGCCAGCAGCCGCGGUAAUACGUAGGGGGCUAGCGUUAUCCAGAAUUACUGGGCGUAAAGCGCGU
rnacentral:rRNA from 1 species